AGAUUGAACGCUAGCGGGAUGCCUUACACAUGCAAGUCGAACGGCAGCACGGACUUCGGUCUGGUGGCGAGUGGCGAACGGGUGAGUAAUGUAUCGGAACGUGCCUAGUAGCGGGGGAUAACUACGCGAAAGCGUAGCUAAUACCGCAUACGCCCUACGGGGGAAAGCAGGGGAUCGCAAGACCUUGCACUAUUAGAGCGGCCGAUAUCGGAUUAGCUAGUUGGUGGGGUAACGGCUCACCAAGGCGACGAUCCGUAGCUGGUUUGAGAGGACGACCAGCCACACUGGGACUGAGACACGGCCCAGACUCCUACGGGAGGCAGCAGUGGGGAAUUUUGGACAAUGGGGGAAACCCUGAUCCAGCCAUCCCGCGUGUGCGAUGAAGGCCUUCGGGUUGUAAAGCACUUUUGGCAGGAAAGAAACGUCAUGGGCUAAUACCCCGUGAAACUGACGGUACCUGCAGAAUAAGCACCGGCUAACUACGUGCCAGCAGCCGCGGUAAUACGUAGGGUGCAAGCGUUAAUCGGAAUUACUGGGCGUAAAGCGUGCGCAGGCGGUUCGGAAAGAAAGAUGUGAAAUCCCAGAGCUUAACUUUGGAACUGCAUUUUUAACUACCGAGCUAGAGUGUGUCAGAGGGAGGUGGAAUUCCGCGUGUAGCAGUGAAAUGCGUAGAUAUGCGGAGGAACACCGAUGGCGAAGGCAGCCUACNUGGGAUAACAC
rnacentral:rRNA from 1 species